CUGGCCAGCCGCGUCAUACGCUGCGUCAGACGCUGCCCACACGCAAGCAGACUUGCUUUGGGGAAGAAGCAGGCUACCGGGCCUGGAAAGCACAACUUCCUCACUCUUUGUCCUCAUGAACCUCUUUGCCAAAACAUCCAAAAAUGGUGAUUGACCGGAGUGUAUGAUGAGAACAGAGGUUGGCCCAAACACAAAGAGAGGAGCUGCCAAGCCAGUGCUGUCAGUCACCAAAGUGCAUCUGGCAGCAAGCGAGAUGAAUGUCCACACUAUUGAGCACUAUUAGAAAUGGAUUGGUUAAGGGCUUUGUAACACCACUUCAGGAUCAGGCAGACACAGGUAAUCUGCUUUCAAAGCACUGGAUUGAUAUGAAGCGACCAACGCUGCACUGUCUUCUUGAGAUAGGGAAGGGACAUCUUUGUGAAAGUGUAUUGUAUAACACUUCCCCCUUUUUCAGAUAUCUCAAAGUACACUACUUAUACAAAAGUAUGUGGACAUCCCUUCAAAUUAGUGGAUUCGACUGUUUCAGCCACACGCUACCUUCCCGAAUGCAUAUUGCCAACUUUCAAGUUUGGUGGAGGAGGAAUAAUAAUGGUCUGGGGCUGUUUUUCAUGGUUCGGGCUUCGCCCCUUAGUUCCAGUGAAGGGAAAUCUUAAUGCUACAGCAUACAAUGACAUUCUAGACGAUUCUGUGCUUCCAACUUUGUGGCAACCGUUUGGGGAAGGCUCUUUCCUGUUUCAGCAUGACAAUGCCCCUGUGGACAAUGUGAGGUCCAUACAGAAAUGGUUUGUUAAGGUCGGUGUGGAAGAAUUUCACUGGCCUGCACAGAGGCCUGAACCCAACCCCAUCGAACAUCUUUGGGAUGAAUUAGAAUGCUGACUGCAAGCCAGGCCUAAUCGCCCAAAUUCAGUGUCCGACCUCACUAAUGCUCUUGUGGCUGAAUGGAAGCAAGUGGAAGCAAUGUUCCAAAAUCUAGUGGAAAGCUUUUCCAGAAGAGUGGAGGCUGUUCUAGCAGCAAAGAGAGGACCAAGUCUAUAUUAAUGCCCUGAUUUUGGAAUUAGAUGUUUAACAAGCAGGUCACCAUACACUUUUGGUCAUGUGGUGUAGCUAGCGGGAGAGAAGGGGAGGUCGGAAGCAUUCUAUCCUAUUGAUUAGUAAAAUGUACAGGAGAAUUUUCAAAAAGCAAUACAGAAUGUCAAAGUUUUACUGUCAUGUUGACAUUUUGUGUCACAGUGACAUUUUUGAAGUCUAUCGAUUAAAGAAUCAAUUCAAUGAAGUCA